rnacentral:rRNA from 1 species
GUCUACGGCCAUACCACCCUGAACGUGCCCGAUUUCGUCUGAUCUCGGAAGCUAAGCAGGGUCGGGCCUGGUUAGUACUUGGAUGGGAGAAAAACUUUCACAUAUUCC